GGAUCGGCCGUUUUUCACACGUGAUUUUAAAAAUACGUAUCAUGAAUUAUGGAAUAUACUUAAAAUUUACUCCCAUUCCGGAAGGGUUGAGGUGAUUGUAGGGGUAGUUUUACAGACAUGUCGUUAGUUCCAGUAUUCACUUCUCACAGUUCAGUCAUGCAAGCAUAGUGUUCUCUAUAGAUCUUGGGAAGUUCGCAUGAACUGGCACCAGAUUGUCUUGAUAUCUAGGCACAGGAAAGAAAACAAAAGAAUAAGCUUUUUUCCCUUCAUUACUACUAAUUCCGACAGGAAAUUUGAAUGUAAUACCUUGAGAAAUUUCUAUUUUGGGAAUGACUGCGUAAGUACAUUAUUUUUCUUUUGGGAUGUUUUACAUUGUUUUGCAGAUGAUUGCACUCGUUUCGUAAGUUUUUCUUUUAUUCGAUAGGUAUUAUUUACUCGAUAAUCUAUCUCAUUUUAUAAAAAUAUCACUGAAAAAUCGAUUUUAAAGAUUGUCUUAUCGAAAAUUGUAGUUACUCUGUCUCAAUUUGCAUAUUUUCGUGAUUAAUAUAACUCAGCUUCAU
rnacentral:lncRNA from 1 species